GGAGUGGUAGUUCAGUUUGGUUAGAAUACCGGCCUGUCACGCCGGGGGUCGCGGGUUCGAGUCCCGUCCACUCCGCCA
rnacentral:tRNA from 3 species